CCUACGGGAGGGCAGCAGUGGGGAAGUUUUGGACAAUGGGCGAAAGCCUGAUCCAGCCAUGCCGCGUGCAGGAUGAAGGCCUUCGGGUUGUAAACUGCUUUUGUACGGAACGAAAAGUCUCUUUCUAAUAAAGAGGGAUCAUGACGGUACCGUAAGAAUAAGCACCGGCUAACUACGUGCCAGCAGCCGCGGUAAUACGUAGGGUGCAAGCGUUAAUCGGAAUUACUGGGCGUAAAGCGUGCGCAGGCGGUUAUAUAAGACAGUUGUGAAAUCCCCGGGCUCAACCUGGGAACUGCAUCUGUGACUGUAUAGCUAGAGUACGGUAGAGGGGGAUGGAAUUCCGCGUGUAGCAGUGAAAUGCGUAGAUAUGCGGAGGAACACCGAUGGCGAAGGCAAUCCCCUGGACCUGUACUGACGCUCAUGCACGAAAGCGUGGGGAGCAAACAGGAUUAGAUACCCUGGUAGUCCACGCCCUAAACGAUGUCACUGUUGUGGAAUCUAUUCUCAGUAACGAGCUAACGCGUGAGUCGACCGCGUGGGAGGACGGCGCGAGUAGAAUAAGUAGAGUAGAGCGUGAGAGUGCGACGGACGACGACGAGGGAGAGG
rnacentral:rRNA from 1 species